rnacentral:rRNA from 1 species
GGCUGCAGUCGAGGAUCUUCGGCAAUGGGCGCAAGCCUGACCGAGCGACGCCGCGUGGAGGAUGAAGGCCUUCGGGUUGUAAACUCCUGUCGAGGGGGAGGAAGGGGAAACCUUGACCGAUCCCUGGAGGAAGCACGGGCUAAGUUCGUGCCAGCAGCCGCGGUAAGACGAACCGUGCGAACGUUAUUCGGAAUCACUGGGCUUAAAGCGCGUGUAGGCGGAUGGGAACGUCGGAUACUGAAAGCCCCCGGCUCAACCGGGGAAGUGGUUCCGAAACGACCUGUCUGGAGGGACGUAGGGGGAUCUGGAACUUCCGGUGGAGCGGUGAAAUGCGUUGAGAUCGGAAGGAACGCCCGUGGCGAAAGCGAGGUCCUGGACGUCUGCUGACGCUGAGACGCGAAAGCUAGGGGAGCAAACGGGAUUAGAUACCCCGGUAGUCCUAGCCGUAAACGAUGGGCACUGGGUAGGGGGCUCGCCGAUGGGCUCUCUGCCGUAGCGAAAGCGUGAAGUGCCCCGCCUGGGGAGUAUGGUCGCAAGGCUGAAACUCAAAGGAAUUGACGGGGGCUCACACA